GGUGAGAUAUCUUUCUGCUUAUUAGAGAUGUGAGAUUUCAAGCUAUAUCUCCUGUACUAUGUUUCUAGCUUUAUUUGCAGGAUUGGUGCAGUAGUCGACUUCAGGAGAGAUGCAAAACUAUUAAGGACUUCCGUAUCUGGGCCUGUUUCUUUCCGGUGGAGUAGUGUGCCUACUUGCUCAUUUGGAAGUAGAAAGAUAGUGAUGCAUAAAAAGGGCGACGAAUGCAUAUAAUCACUGCUGGUUUAUCACGCCAGAGCUCUGAAGCCUUCAUUGGCGGACUCUUUGAUUUCACCAAACGCGCCGUUCCAAUCUUGUACUCUGGUGUUAGUUUCUGAACUGAGAUAUUCUCAAUGGAGG